UUGUUUUUAGAAGUAUUAAAUCAAAAUAUAGUUAGUAGGUUGUAGUGGUGUAUUAAUGUAUAUAUCUAGGUGCUAAACAGUAUUAAUACAAUAGUGCAUAAUUCUUACGUUUUUAGUAGUUUUUAAUUGUACAUAUUUUCAGUGUAAUCUUGCCUUGUAUAUUGUAGCAGAGUUUAACUUGUCAGUUUAAACGUUUUUAGGCAUACGUACAUACUAGAUGAGCUAGAUUUAUUACUUAAGAUAAAAUUGGCUACCGCAGAAAGUUAAAAUGUCACAAAUUUCGAAACUUUAUCUGUAAAUUUUUAAUUCUAUUGUCUGAAAUUAAAGUAGGCCUCUGUAACUGAGUUGUGUAAGUAGUUCAUCUACAUAAACACUGGCUACUGGUAGUCAACACAUAAGUUUGGAGUUUUAAACGCAUGUGGCAGAUGCUAUAAACUCUGAUAUUGAGAAGGAUGUCAUUUUUCUAGCGAAAGGCUGGUGGUUCUCUACAGGGACUAUUUCUUUUGUUUAUAAAAACUUACUGCCACAAUAUAGACAAUAGCACUUAAAGUGGCAUAAACACCAAAAAUCAGUGAAAUCAAUCAAAGAUUAAGAUGAAAUCCCUACUUCAACUUAUAAGAACUUGCGACUGCAAUUUAGACAAGAGUACUAGGUAUUAAAUACCAAAAAUCACUUACUAGUAUCAGUGAAAUCACUAAAAGAUCAAACUGAAAUCUAGACAAUGUCCAAGAGUAAACAAAAACAAAUUGUCAACCUAUUACAGAAUAAACUAAUUUUCUCGACCCCACAACCUUAUCAAACUAGUUUGACCCCACCAUAUGUUUAUGUGCCUGUCUCAAGGUUUUUCGUCAACAGAUUUUGAUCUCAAAUAUUUUUAUCUAUUGACAAUUUGUAAAUAGUGUGUCAUAUUUUUUAUCUCUUAGAAUUUAUUCUAAUGUCCAUACUGACAUAUUUAGAGCUAGAAAUAUAUAUACAUGUAUACAACUUCUUGUCUAUUGUUGAACUUUUAAGGGUUACUUGAUGUCUAUUUUUGUUUAUUUGUUGGGUUGCUCUAUUUCAGCUCAUACUUUCUUUUAUCUACAUUGAUCACUUGAUUUUUCUUAAAAAGAAAAACCUUGUUGAUAACAUCUUGAUAAAUUGUUAUAUGAAUCCUAUUCACACAAAAUUAUAAAUCUAUUCUAAAAAUUCUUGCGAUAAAAUAUCUUGCGACAGGACAGAUUAUAAAAUCAAUGUAUUUCCACAUUUGUAAAUAGUUGCUCUCUUACUUCAUAUGAUUUAAUCUAUUAUCAUUCAAUGUUAUGAUCUGUUGUAUUUAUACUGGGGGCUAUUAAAUCCUUGACAUGUGUGAUGUUAUUUUUUCAUUAUCCCUUCUUUCCAUCAAAGUCUGGAAAACACUCCCUCCCAGGGUUGUAACAGCACCAUUAGUCCAGGCUUUUAAAGCCUGUAACAAAGCUGAACUAAAUUCUAACAAUAUGGGGAUGGGGAAGAGGUCUGUUCGCACACCAAAAUCAUGGCAAAAUAUUCAAUUUGUUGAUAGUGGCCAUUAUCUGGUAGUAGAAUAUAUUGCUCUGUAGUAAACUUAUAGCUAAUCCUAAAAUGAAUUAUUAGUUCCAAAACCAUAUAUGUGUUUCCAAAUUGAAACCUUACAAUAAUGCCACCAUUUUGAAUCAAUAUUGCCAUGAACAAUAUCAGCGAAUAUUACAAAAUAAUUUUGGUUUUAUUUAUAAUUUAACAGGGAAUAUAAUGUUGUGUUAAAUACAUAUUAAUAUGCAAUAUUACAGAUUUGUAGUGAUGUUUCUCAAAAAGAACAAUGUAUUUUUAGGUCAAAAGUGGGUCGCAUUGGGGUCUAAGCCUGACGCAAGAUAGCCGAUAUUUUUGUAAGCGUGACAAGUGAAAGUCAAAUUAUUGUGCCAUAUUAAUGGGAAAUGAAGUCUAACAGAACAGGGGAAAUUACAAAAAAAUGAGAAUUGCUAACUAAAUAGUGUAAGCGGGAUACAGGAAUCUGACAAAACAGUUAAGCGGGAUACGGGAAUCUGACAAAACAGUUAGCGGAAUCCAGGAUCAGAACCCCCCAAUGAGCCCCCCUCAAAUGUGAAAAAGUCAAUUGUUAAUAUAGAAACUAUUUAUUUAUAGAUACUCCCAAUAUAAUAUGUAAAAUUCUUUAAGAUUAGAGAUUUUAACAAAAUAACAAGGAAAUGUUACUUAUAAGUAGGAAGUAACACUUCACUUGAUCUGUAUGUAUUUGUUAUGAUAAUUUUAAAGGAAAGAAAUGUGAUUUAAAGAUAAACAGUGGUUGUCAAACAAUUUUUUUGUAAUUUUGUUCGAAGUUUGUGACAUGAUGAAAAUUGAAGAUUAUUUGAAAUCUUUUUAUCUUUUUAAAAGGUGAAAGCAAGUAUAAACGUGUUGUGUCAGAUAGCUAAAUAUAGUCCGAAAAUUGUUUUACCUUAACUUAUCUUCCCUAUUUAAACUGAGAUGACUUUAUAAUCUUUGUGAUUCUCUUUAUAAUAUAUAACUGGUGGUGAUACAGUUAGAUUUCAAUAUUUCAGUAUGGUCAUGCUACCCUUCUGUUUAAUUAUAGAAACAUUAGAGUUCCAGUGUGCUUUAAACUUCAUUAAAUUUGUACAGUGCUUUCCCACAGGGUUGCUUGGGUCCUUUUCGAUUUUGAUGUUAGAGGUCAAGGGCAAAAACACAAUGGUAUAUCAUUUUGAAAUCAAAACAGGAAGGCACAAUUGAUCUUUAUUCUUGCAUCAAGUUUAAUGAAACUUUGAACCAAAUUUCACCAUGAGAAGGUUAUAAACUGUAUCUUUCAUCAUGGUCCAAAGUCAAGGUUGUCUUGAGGUAAAUAUUGAAAGAAACUUGCACUAUGAAGGUUGCAAACAUUUUCUUUUUAACAAAAUUUUAAAUGAUUACACAUAAGUACAGGAUGAACCCUAUUAAAACUUAAGUCAAAGGUCAAUGCUGCUUUUCAAUCCAAUCUUGACAAAACUUUGGAUCACCUUUUCCUCUAUUGUUCAUCAACCCUAAACAAUCCAAAACCUAUAGUGAGGUAAACCCGAUUAGGCUGCAGCUACCAUAAAUAUCGAAUUUUCUCUGUGAAUAUCUAGCAAUCACUCUUUUUAAUGCCUGUAAAAUUAUAUGGGCUUUGAAAUAUCUGUAACUUACUAAGAAGUUGUUUUGGCUGCAUGAUAAGAAAUACUACAACCUCAAACAAAAAAAUAAGUAAAAUUGGAUGGCUACCUAGAAGGUUCAACAAUAGACAAGUGUCUGCUAUAUGUCAAGCUCUAAAUCUUAUAUCUGUAAAUCCUGUUCUUUAAGUUGAAGGAGCACUUCAAUAAUUGUACACCAGGUUAUGGAUAUUAUGUAUAUUGAACUCUUGUAUUUUAAUAUAAAUCAUCUGAAGGUCUGUCAGGAAAUCAGAUUAAAACAAAGUAGUACAUGUAGUUUUCAAUACUGAAUUGUCUCUAACAACUUAUUUAUUGACAUCUAAGGUCAAGCUAAGGUCAAGCUAAGGUCAAGCUAAGGUUACAUCUUUUCAAUAAAAGUGCUAUAAACAAUUGACUCAGAUUAUCACAAUUUAAUCUUUUUUCAUAGCUUUGAAUUCAUCUACAGUGACUUUUUGCAAGGUAACUAGACUACAUGUAUUAAUAUUAUAUCACUUGUCAAGUUAACUGACAAGAUUUAAACCUUAGAAAGCACUAUGAUGUAAUACUAUGUUAAAAAUAUUAGUCAGCUACAAAAUAUUUCUCUCCCAAAGUUCUAAAAUUCUUUUCAACUUAAAAAGAAAAAUCAUUAUACAAUAACUUAAACAAACAGAAUUUAGUGUUGUAAUGUGCCAUAUAUUGAAAGUUUUUCCUAAAUGCCAAAACAAAAUUGGUGCUUCAUAGCUUAUAAUUAGUUUAAGCAAACAUUGAAUCACACAGGGUUAGAUGCAUGAUGCAACCUAGACCAAAAUCAUGAGAUCUUGAAAAAUGAAUUUUUCCAAUGUAUCAACAGUAGAUGAGAUAAUUUUUUGCAUUUUUUCCUUCUAUUGAGAUUACUAUUGUUAAAUUAAAUACAUUUCUAAUGCCAACUGAUAUUUUAGCUGAAUAUAAUCAUUGUUGCCCUCAAGUUGUGUAGUUGUGUUACCCAGCUGACUGCUGUAUGCAGAAUAUUGACUGUUAUAGUAUUACUGAGAAAUGACGAUCUGUAUUGAUGACCAUUAAUUAAUGUCCAAGUUUUUACACUGUUUUGAACUUUGUUAAAUUUGUAUAUGUAUCAUGUAAAUUUUAUUUUUGAACAAUGUAUUAAACAUAUAUUUUAUUAAAGUCUUUUAUAUCUG
rnacentral:lncRNA from 1 species